CUCACAUCCAAGCUCUUCAAGUAAAAAACACUCAUAUUUUGUUUAGCGAAUCCAAAGAGAGAAGCAAACACUGAAACAAUUAUCUUUGGCUUCCAUGGCCAACCGAGGAGCCUCUUCUUCUUCUGCUCCUUUCACCAAGUCAUGGAAAUACCAUGUCUUUCUGAGCUUCAGAGGUUUUGACACUCGCUCAAAUUUCACAAGCCAUUUGUAUAGCAAUUUGCGUCUACAAGGAAUUAACACCUUCAUGGAUGAUGAUGAGCUCAGAAGAGGAGAAGAAAUAUCAAACGCGCUUCUCACAGCAAUUGAAGGCUCAAAGAUUUCUGUGGUGGUGUUCUCCGAAAACUAUGCCUCCUCAAAGUGGUGCUUGGAUGAGCUUGUUAAGAUUCUUGAUUGCAAAGAAUCAAAUCAACAAUUGGUCAUCCCAGUUUUUUACAAGGUGAAUCCAUCAAAUGUACGGAAUCAUAGAGGAAGCUUCGGGGAUGCACUGGCUAACAUGGGGCGGAAAUACGAAGAUGAGAUGGACAAGGUCAAGAAAUGGAGGGCGGCACUUUCACAAGCAGCAGCUUUGUCAGGGUUCCCUUUGGACGAACAUAGAUCUGAAGCUGAACUGAUUCAUAAUAUCGUUCAACACAUUUCACGGGAAGUAAUAGACCGCACAUAUUUGUAUGUGACAGAGUAUCCAGUUGGAAUGCACCAUCCUGUAGAAGAUAUAAUUGAGCUUUUGGAUUUGAGGGAAAACGAUGUUCGUAUGGUAGGUGUAUGGGGAACUGGUGGAAUUGGUAAGACCACAAUUGCUACAGCUGUUUAUAAUUCAAUUGCCCACGAAUUUGAAGGCUGUUCUUUUUUGGCAAACGUCAGAGAAUGUUCAACGUGGCAGGGAGGAGGUUUAGCCAAACUACAGAGGACUCUUCUUUAUGAGAUUCUAAGGGAUACAAAUUUGGAGGUGGCCAACGUUCAUAAAGGGCCAACUAUGAUAAAGCAAAGGUUGAGUUGUAGAAAGGUUCUCUUGGUUCUUGAUGACGUUGAUGACAUGGAACAGUUACACAAGUUAGUUGGGGCAUGUGAUUGGUUUGGUGUAGGCAGUAGAAUUAUCAUAACAACAAGGGAUAAGCAACUGUUAACUGCUCAUCAAGUUAAUUUAAUACAUGAGGUCAAGAUUUUAGAUGAUCCUGAAGCUCUUGAGCUCUUCUGUUGGCAUGCCUUCAAAAGAAGUGGGCCUUCUUUGGAUGAUUAUGUGAAACUUGCAGAAAGUGCAAUACGCUAUGCUCAAGGCCUUCCUUUGGCCUUGAAAGUUCUGGGUUCUUAUCUAUGUGGUGGAAGUAUAGAUAAAUGGCAACGUGCAUUGGAUGGUUUCCAAGGCACACAAAUUCAAGAAGUUCUCAAAAUAAGUUACAAUGCCUUGGAUGAUAGAGUAAAGAAGGUUUUCCUCGACAUUGCCUGUUUCUUUAAGGGUACAAAUAAAAAGUAUGUGAAAGACGCUUGUGAGCUAAACACUAGAUAUGGCAUUGAUGUACUCAUAGAAAAGGCCCUCGUAAGUGUUGAAAGUAGUUAUAUUCAGAUGCAUGACUUACUAGAAAAGAUGGGUAAGGACAUAAUUGAGCAGGAGUCGCCUACUGAACCCGGAGGACGUAGCAGAUUGUGGUUUCAUGAAGAUGUCAAGCAUGUCCUGACGAAUAAUGCAGGAACAAAUAAAAUCACAGGCAUCCUAUUAAAUUUCCCCAAAAAAGAUGAUGAGAUAUUCUUGGAUGUUGGCAGAAGCUUCUCGAAGAUGAAAAAUCUUAAAAUUCUCAUAAACCACAAUGUAUGCCUUUCUGGAGAUGCUAGUUCUAUCCCAAACAAUUUGAGAGUUCUUGAAUGGCAUGGAUGUCCGUUCCAAUUUUUACCACCCAAUUUUCGUCCAACUAGACUAGUUGUGCUCAGUCUGCCUUACAGCCGCAUCAAACAACUAGGAGAGGGAUUGAAGCAUAUGAAAAAGUUGACAACUCUGGAUUUCAGGGGAUCUCAAUUGCUAACUGAAAUCCCCGACCUAUCCAGCAGCCUAAACUUAAGGUAUUUGUAUGCGAAUCGUUGUACAAGCUUAGUCGAGGUUCAUCCAUCUGUUGGAUAUCUUGAUAAACUUGAAGAAUUGAAAUUUUGUCACUGCUGUGAACUCACGAAGUUUCCAAAUAAAGUUGGGUUGAAAUCUCUGAAAUUAUUUUUUCUUUACGAUUGCAUAAAGUUGGAGAGUUUCCCAGAAAUUGUGGACAAAAUGGAAUCCUUAAUUGAAUUGGACCUUCGGAGAACUAAUAUAAAAGAGUUGCCUGCAUCAAUUCGACAUCUCAUUGGGCUGGAAAUAAUGAGCUUAUCUGAAAGUGCUAUAAAAGAGUUGCCUACAUCAAUUGAACAUCUCAUUGGGCUGAAAGAAUUGCACUUAUCUAAAACUGCUAUGAAAGAAUUGCCUUCAUCCGUUGGAAAUCUCACUGCCCUACAACGUUUAUGGUUAGAGGGAAGUGCUAUAGAAGAGUUGCCUUCAUCAAUUGGAAAUCUCACUGCACUUCAACUAUUAUAUUUACAAGGAUGUGAAAACCUUGCAAAUCUGCCACAAAGUAUUUAUGGGUUGCAAAAUUUGGGUAUUAUUGAUCUCAGUCAAUGCCCAAAACUUGUCACACUUCCAAAUAACUUGAUCUCUGAAGCUUUAUCGAGUGCAGAAUCACUUCCUUUGGAGGUUCGAACCAACGCAAACAGUCCAUGCGAUGGCAACUUCAUGACGCAUGAGGAGAUGUAUUUUCAAGAGUGCAAUGUAUCAAAUAUUGAUUCCUUGGAGAAUUUUUGUUGCUGGUCCAACUUAGCGAUAGCUAAUCUAUCCGAAAGCAAUUUUGUCAGUCUUCCUGGGUGCAUUAGCAAAUGUGUCAACUUGCGGGAGCUUAAUUUGAGGGGUUGCAAGAGGCUUGUAGAAAUUCUAGUACAACUUCCAACGUCUGUAGCAUGGAUCGAUAUGACUAAUUGCAUAUCACUGGAAAGAUUUUCAACAUUGUCAAAGAUAUUGGAAGGCGAAGACAUGCAAGGCAUUAGUAACAUGAACUUGUCUAAUUGCCAUAGGCUAUGCGAUAACCUAGGGUUGGAUCUUUCGAAGAUGGCAAAAUUUUUACUGAAUCAGAUGAAGAGGAGUGAGAGGAUUAUCGUUACACUACCUGACAGUGGCAGUGAAGUUCCUGAGUGGUUCACUUUUGGUGAUGACUUUGAUGACUAUGAUGAAAGUAAAUUUGAUUACGUUGAUGUUGAUGGCAGGAGUGUUCGUAAUUACAACCUUCCUAUUGAAAUUCCUUGGACUUUAGUAUUGGAGAACACAAAAUUGGUUUUGUUUGUUGUUUGGGAAAUUACGGAAUCAUUUGUUAGCCCUUGUUCUCUUGUAUUUUGUUUGGAUGAUUAUAGAGAUCACAUGUAUUUGUUUGGAAGAGAGACCGGGAAAGGUAAUGUGUGGUUGGAAUGUAUUCCAAUUUCUUUUGAACAAUUAAAGACGCCUAUUUUUCGAGUUACUGUUUUCGGCAAAGGGUUGCGCAUCAAAAGCAUUGGGGCCCACCUGGCUCCUAUCAGUUUGUCAAAGGAUGGUGAUGAUGAUGGCAAACAUAUUGAUGAAAAUGAAUUAGAUGAUGAUGACGAUGUAGGUGAUGAAGUUGGACCCAGAAAGAGAACAAAUAUAUGACCUCUGUCUGCAUUUCAAUAGUAUCCAGUUGGAAUGCACCAUUCUGUAGAAGAUAUAAUUUAGCUUUUAGAUUUGGGGAAAAACGAUGUUAGUAUGGUAGGGUUAUGGGGAACUGGUGGAAUUGGUAAGACCACAAUUGCUACAGCUGUUUAUAAUUCAAUUGCCCACGAAUUUGAAGGCUGUUCUUUUUUGGCAAACGUCAGAGAAUGUUCAACGUGGCAAUGAGGAGGUUUAGCCAAACUACAGAGGACUCUUCUUUAUGAGAUUCUAAGGGAUACAAAUUUGGAGGUGCCCAAUGUUCAUAAAGGGGCCACUAUGAUAAAGCAAAGGUUGAGUUGUAGAAAGGUUCUCUUGGUUCUUGAUGACGUGGAUAACAUAGAACGGUUACACAAGUUAGUUGGGGCAUGUGAUUGGUUUGGUGUAGGCAGCAGAAUUAUCAUAACAACAAGGGAUAAGCAAGUGUUAACUGCCCAUCAUGUUAAUUUAAUACAUGAGGUCCAGUUUUUAGAUGAUCCUGAAGCUCUUGAGCUCUUAUGUUGGCAUGCCUUCAAAAGAAGUGGGCCUCCUUUGGGUGAUUAUGUGAAACUUGCAGAACGUGCAAUACUCUAUGCUCAAGGCCUUCCUUUGGCUUUGAAAAUUCUCGAUUGUUGUCUAUGUGGUGGAAGUAUAGAUAAAUAGGAAGCUAUAUUGAAUGGUUCCAAAAGCAGGGAAAUUCAAGACGUUCUCCAAAUAAGUUACAAUGCAUUGGAUCACAGUAUACAGGAGGUUUUCCUUGACAUUGCAUGUUUCUUUAAGGGUAAAGAUAGAAAGUAUGUGGAAGACUCUUGUGAGCUAAACGCUCGAUAUGGCAUUGAUGUACUCAUAGAAAAGGCCCUCAUAAGUGUUGAAGGAAGUUAUAUUCAGAUGCAUGACUUACUAGAAAAGAUGGGUAAGGACAUAAUUAAGCAGGAGUCCCCCACUGAACCCGGAGGAUGUAGUAGAUUGUGGUUUCAUCAUGAAGAUGUCAAGGAUGUUAUGAAGAAUGAUAACAGUUACAAAUAAAAUCACAGGCACCAUGUUAAAUUUCCCCAAACUAGAUGAUGAGAUAUUCUUGGAUGUUGGCAGAAGCUUCUCAAAGAUGAAAAAUCUUAAACUCUUGGAUGUUGGCAAAAGCUUAUCGAAGAUGAAAAAUCUUAAAAUUCUCAUAAUCCACAAUGUAUGUCUUUCUGGAGACGCUAGUUCUAUCCCAAAUAAUCUGAGAGUUCUUGAUUGGCAUGGAUGUCCGUUCCAAUUUUUUCCACCCAAUUUUCGUCCAAAGGGACUAGCUGUGCUCAGUCUGCCUUACAGCCGCAUCAAACAACUAGGGGAGGGAUUGAAGCAUAUGAAAAAGUUGACAUCUCUGAAUUUCUUUGGAUCUGAAUUCCUAACUGAAAUCCCCGACCUAUCCAGCAGCC